rnacentral:rRNA from 1 species
AGGAUGAACGCUGGCGGCGUGCCUAAUACAUGCAAGUCGAGCGGUAACACUUCGGGUGACGAGCGGCGGACGGCUGAGUAACACGUAGGAACGUACCCCAAAGUGAGGGAUAAGCACCGGAAACGGUGUCUAAUACCGCAUGUGCUCUUCGGAGUAAAGCUUCGGCGCUUUGGGAACGGCCUGCGCAUGAUUAGCUUGUUGGUGAGGUAAAAGCUCACCAAGGCGACGAUCAUUAGCUGGUCUGAGAGGAUGAUCAGCCAGACUGGGACUGAGAACGGCCCAGACUCCUACGGGAGGCAGCAGUAGGGAAUUUUCCACAAU